rnacentral:rRNA from 1 species
UCGAGAAUCUUCGGCAAUGGACGCAAGUCUGACCGAGCGACGCCGCGUGCGGGAUGAAGGCCUUCGGGUUGUAAACCGCUGUCGUAGGGGAGGAAAUUCUGGUGGGUACUCCCAUCAGAUUGACUGAUCCUAGGAGGAAGGACCGGCUAAUCUCGUGCCAGCAGCCGCGGUAAUACGAGAGGUCCAAACGUUAUUCGGAAUCACUGGGCUUACAGAGUUCGUAGGCGGCUCUACAAGUGAGGUGUGAAAGCCCUCGGCUCAACCGAGGAACUGCGCUUCAAACUGUAGAACUAGAGGGAGAUAGAGGUGAGCAGAACUGAUGGUGGAGCGGUGAAAUGCGUUGAUAUCAUCAGGAAUACCGGAGGCGAAGGCGGCUCACUGGGUCUCUUCUGACGCUGAGGAACGAAAGCUAGGGGAGCAAACGGGAUUAGAUACCCCCGUAGUCC